CAGGAUAACAUGAAGGCCGUGCCCUCCCUGGGCGUGGGGGGAGACAGUGUCCAGGAUAACAUGGAGGCCAUGCCCUGCCUGGGGGGGGGGUGGGAGAGACAGUGUCCAGGAUAACACGGAGGCCGUGCCCUGUCUGGGGUGAGACACAGUGUCCAGGAUAACACGGAGGCCGUGCCCUGUCUGGGGGGAGACACAGUGUCCAGGAUAACACGGAGGCCGUGCCCUGUCUGGGGUGAGACACAGUGUCCAGGAUAACACGGAGGCCGUGCCCUGUCUGGGGGGAGACACAGUGUCCAGGAUAACACGGAGGCCGUGCCCUGUCUGGGGGGAGACACAGUGUGCAGGAUAACACGGAGGCCGUGCC